AUGGGAGCUUCUAAUCCCACGAGUCGACUCGAGUCUGUUUGUAAUUUUUGCUUCAACUAUUUCAAACUAGUAAAGCAUCAAAAAUCACGAGUGAAGACUAAGAUAAAAAGAGGUUUGAAGCUUACCGAUAGUGCUCCGUGGUUGUUGUCAAUGGAAUCAGAAACUCGGGAAAAUCAACUCAGGGGCAACAACAUGCAGGUUUUGUGUAAAGUUUGUGCAGGGACUGUUUUGGUUAGUUUGGAGAAGGAAAAGCAAGGGGCAGCAGGUUGUUUUGGCAGUUUAUUUAGAGUUUGGACAUUAAUGCUUUUUUUGGACAGCAAGAGUUUGUAUUGGAGGAUAAAGUUAGGUUAUUAG